GCCUGAGCCAGUAGUGGCAACCCGCUUGAGUCAGCUUCUGCAUUGUGGAAGGUUUGUUCUUUCUCUCUUUGCAGUAAAUCUUACUGCUGCUCACUUUUUGGGUCCACACUGCGUUUAUUAGCUGCAACGCUCACCGCUAUGGUCUGCAGCUUCACUCCUGAAGCCAGCGAGACCACGAACCCACCAGAAUGAAGAAACUCCGAACACAUCCAAACAUCAGAAGGAACAAACUCCGGACAGGCGGCCUUUAAGAACUGUAACACUCACCUCGAGGGUCUGCGGCUUCAUUCUUGAAGUCAGUGAGACCAAGAACCCACCAAUUCCGGACACAAUGUUACUCCAGAUAAUCAGCGCCAUUUUCUGAAGCUUGAGAUGCAGGAAAAGAGGAGUGCUAUCCAUUAGAUGGAGACAGGAAGUAGAAAAAGAGCUUAAAGUUUUGGCUUGUGUUACUUCCUUGGGGAGAUCUUGCUGGACCACAUCAGGAAUAGGAGGGGUGUGUCCCCACAGCACUGUGUACACGCACUUGGGCAAACAGCUGAUAGGAGUUCAUUUUGUGAAGCUGUCACGAGUUUUCCAGUAGACCAUGAGCUUGCUGAUGGCAGGAGCCUGCCUGUCCUUGAUCCUUGUUUCUGUGGGGUCUAUCCCAGUGCCUGGCACAGUGGCUUUGGAGAUGGAAGGAAUAGAGGGAGAUCCUCAAACACAGCCUGCAUCUCUCCCUGCUCCCCUCCCACCCUCCAGUUUUCCAGCCAGAGGCAUUUGCUCUAAGGCCCAGGCUGUGGCCCACCUAUCACCGCUACCCAAGUAGUACAGGAAAAGGAAAUUUGAAGAGGAAAAGAGGCACCAGGGAUGAGGACACACCGAGAAAAGACCAUGUGAAGACAUGGCGAGAAGACAGCCAGCUGCAAGCCAAGGAGUGAGGCCUCAGAAGAAACCAACCCUGCCGACACCUUGACCUUGGACUUCUAGUCUCUAGAAUUAUGCGAAAAUAAAUUCCUGUUGUUUAAGCCACCCACUCUGUAGUAUUUUGUUAUGGCAGCCCCAAGCAAACUAAUACAGUAUCCUUGAAGAAAGAAGAAUUAUAAAACCUAACAGUUAAGGGGCAGUUAAUUGACAUAUUAAUAAUUCAUUUAGUCUUCUCUUCACAGAAACUCUCUAUAGGAGUUAUUACCAUUUAUCACCAUUUUACAGAGGAGAAAACUGAGGCACAAGAGGUCAAGUAACCUGCUUCAAAGUCAUAACUAGUAAGUGACAGAGGCAGUUUCUUCACUCUCAGUCCUCUAAAAAGCAAAGCCCAAGGUUAAAGUGCUGACAUUUAGU
rnacentral:lncRNA from 10 species